GCUGUCAACCUGGUUAGCUCAGUUGGUUAGAGCAUGGUGCUGAUAAUGCCAAGGUGGCAGGUUCAAUCCCCCUUUGGGGCA